AAUGAGAGUUUGAUCCUGGCUCAGGACGAACGCUGGCGGCGUGCCUAAUACAUGCAAGUAGAACGCUGAGGUUUGGUGUUUACACUAGACUGAUGAGUUGCGAACGGGUGAGUAACGCGUAGGUAACCUGCCUCAUAGCGGGGGAUAACUAUUGGAAACGAUAGCUAAUACCGCAUAAGAGUAAUUAACACAUGUUAGUUAUUUAAAAGGAGCAAUUGCUUCACUGUGAGAUGGACCUGCGUUGUAUUAGCUAGUUGGUGAGGUAAAGGCUCACCAAGGCGACGAUACAAAGCCGACCUGAGAGGGUGAUCGGCCACACUGGGACUGAGACACGGCCCAGACUCCUACGGGAGGCAGCAGUAGGGAAUCUUCGGCAAUGGACGGAAGUCUGACCGAGCAACGCCGCGUGAGUGAAGAAGGUUUUCGGAUCGUAAAGCUCUGUUGUUAGAGAAGAACGUUGGUAGGAGUGGAAAAUCUACCAAGUGACGGUAACUAACCAGAAAGGGACGGCUAACUACGUGCCAGCAGCGCGGUAAUACGUAGGUCCCGAGCGUUGUCCGGAUUUAUUGGGCGUAAAGCGAGCGCAGGCGGUUCUUUAAGUCUGAAGUUAAAGGCAGUGGCUUAACCAUUGUACGCUUUGGAAACUGGAGGACUUGAGUGCAGAAGGGGAGAGUGGAAUUCCAUGUGUAGCGGUGAAAUGCGUAGAUAUAUGGAGGAACACCGGUGGCGAAAGCGGCUCUCUGGUCUGUAACUGACGCUGAGGCUCGAAAGCGUGGGGAGCAAACAGGAUUAGAUACCCUGGUAGUCCACGCCGUAAACGAUGAGUGCUAGGUGUUAGGCCCUUUCCGGGGCUUAGUGCCGCAGCUAACGCAUUAAGCACUCCGCCUGGGGAGUACGACCGCAAGGUUGAAACUCAAAGGAAUUGACGGGGGCCCGCACAAGCGGUGGAGCAUGUGGUUUAAUUCGAAGCAACGCGAAGAACCUUACCAGGUCUUGACAUCCUUCUGACCGGCCUAGAGAUAGGCUUUCUCUUCGGAGCAGAAGUGACAGGUGGUGCAUGGUUGUCGUCAGCUCGUGUCGUGAGAUGUUGGGUUAGUCCCGCAACGAGCGCAACCCCUAUUGUUAGUUGCCAUCAUUAAGUUGGGCACUCUAGCGAGACUGCCGGUAAUAAACCGGAGGAAGGUGGGGAUGACGUCAAAUCAUCAUGCCCCUUAUGACCUGGGCUACACACGUGCUACAAUGGUUGGUACAACGAGUCGCAAGUCGGUGACGGCAAGCGAAUCUCUUAAAGCCAAUCUCAGUUCGGAUUGUAGGCUGCAACUCGCCUACAUGAAGUCGGAAUCGCUAGUAAUCGCGGAUCAGCACGCCGCGGUGAAUACGUUCCCGGGCCUUGUACACACCGCCCGUCACACCACGAGAGUUUGUAACACCCGAAGUCGGUGAGGUAACCUUUUAGGAGCCAGCCGCCUAAGGUGGGAUAGAUGAUUGGGGUGAAGUCGUAACAAGGUAGCCGUAUCGGAAGGUGCGGCUGGAUCACCUCCUUU
rnacentral:rRNA from 1 species